CGGAGUGGCGGACGGGUGAGGAAUACAUCGGAAUCUACUCUGUCUGGGGGGAUAACGUAGGGAAACUUACGCUAAUACCGCAUACGACCUACGGGUGAAAGCAGGGGAUCUUCGGACCUUGCGCGAUUGAAUGAGCCGAUGUCGGAUUAGCUAGUUGGCGGGGUAAAGGCCCACCAAGGCGACGAUCCGUAGCUGGUCUGAGAGGAUGAUCAGCCACACUGGAACUGAGACACGGUCCAGACUCCUACGGGAGGCAGCAGGU
rnacentral:rRNA from 1 species